rnacentral:tRNA from 1 species
GGGCGAGUAGCUCAGUUGGGAGAGCAUCGGCCUUACAAGCCGAGGGUCGCUGGUUCGAGCCCAGUUUCGCCCACCG